rnacentral:rRNA from 1 species
GUGGGGAAUUUUGGACAAUGGGCGCAAGCCUGAUCCAGCCAUGCCGCGUGCAGGAUGAAGGCCUUCGGGUUGUAAACUGCUUUUGUACGGAACGAAAAAGCUCUCUCUAAUACAGGGGGUGAAUGACGGUACCGUAAGAAUAAGCACCGGCUAACUACGUGCCAGCAGCCGCGGUAAUACGUAGGGUGCAAGCGUUAAUCGGAAUUACUGGGCGUAAAGCGUGCGCAGGCGGUUAUGUAAGACAGAGGUGAAAUCCCCGGGCUCAACCUGGGAACUGCCUUUGUGACUGCAUAGCUGGAGUGCGGCAGAGGGGGAUGGAAUUCCGCGUGUAGCAGUGAAAUGCGUAGAUAUGCGGAGGAACACCGAUGGCGAAGGCAAUCCCCUGGGCCUGCACUGACGCUCAUGCACGAAAGCGUGGGGAGCAAACAGGAUUAGAUACCCGAGUAGUCC